GCAAGUCGAACGUGAAAGCACUUCGGUGUGAGUAGAGUGGCGGACGGGUGAGUAACGCGUGGGAAUCUACCCAGUAGUGGGGGACAACUACCGGAAACGGUAGCUAAUACCGCAUACGCCCUAUGGGGGAAAGGCUUCGGCCGCUAUUGGAUGAGCCCGCGUCAGAUUAGCUAGUUGGUAGGGUAAAGGCCUACCAAGGCAACGAUCUGUAGCUGGUCUGAGAGGACGAACAGCCACACUGGGACUGAGACACGGCCCAGACUCCUACGGGAGGCAGCAGUGGGGAAUAUUGGACAAUGGGCGAAAGCCUGAUCCAGCAAUGCCGCGUGUGUGAAGAAGGCCUGCGGGUUGUAAAGCACUUUCAGUUGGGAAGAUGAUGACGUUACCAACAGAAGAAGCACCGGCUAAAUCCGUGCCAGCAGCCGCGGUAAUACGGAUGGUGCGAGCGUUAAUCGGAAUUACUGGGCGUAAAGCGCGCGUAGGCGGCUAAGUCAGUCAGAAGUGAAAGCCCCGGGCUCAACCUGGGAAUUGCUUUUGAUACUGCUUAGCUAGAGUUUGGUAGAGGAUAGUGGAAUUCCAGGUGUAGCGGUGAAAUGCGUAGAUAUCUGGAGGAACAUCAGUGGCGAAGGCGACUGUCUGGACCAAAACUGACGCUGAGGUGCGAAAGCGUGGGUAGCAAACAGGAUUAGAUACCCUGGUAGAAGGGC
rnacentral:rRNA from 1 species